AUAUUAGCUAAUGUUAAUAUUGAUAGGCAAAGCACACACAACAGGCCCUCAAGACGCCUAUAUUCCUUGAGGUUAACCCCAGGCAAACCCUCCCUUUUCCUCAGUCUCCCCGUUUGUGAAAUCUCUCUAGUUCCCAGACCUAGCACCAGGCCAGGAUUCAAAGCCAGAGGCAGCAGAGGAAAUUCAGGUGAAAGACCACCAAAGCAGGGUGGUAGGGCUCAGGCUGGGAGCAGAGGGGGGCCGGGCUGGGGCCCCAGUGAGCCCAGCCUGCUGCAGUGUUUCCCAGGGCCUGCUGCUGCCUCCUCUGAGUGCCCCGGCCCCAUCCUGGCCACGCACAUUGGGACAUGCCAGGGCCUGGCUUCCCAGGGGCCAGAGGGAGCUCCCGCAGGGGACUUCAAAAGCCCAAAUGCCUUUCAGAAAGGAACUAAAACUUUCUGCCUAACCAAAGCCUCCACAGGAGAAGAACAGCCUAGCCCUUUUCUUUUUAAGUCUCUUUAUUUUCCAGCCGGCUGGCCUGGUCAUUCUCUUUUUUUCCUAUUAUAAACGGUCCCAGCUGCAGCACACAGGGAAAAAAACCAUCUCCCAGGCCUGGGCAGGGGCCGCUUGCAGCCAAAGCCGCCUGGCUGGCCUCCUGCGGGAGACAAAGGCGGCUCCAGCCUCCGGCACCCACUGGGAGAGGCCCUGGAGCCCCCACCCAGAGCCAAGGCCACAGCAGGAGCUAGGGGAAAUUCUGGAAGUUUCUGCCAGCACUCCAAACCUUCUCCCGCCCCUGGGAGCAGAGCCACCAUCCGGCUAAGCCAAGGACUCCUGAAGAGCCUGUUUGCCAAGGGCAGAAAAUGAAAGAUCAGCAACCCCCCACCCCCACCCCCGCUCCCAUAAAGGCCACAGGAUUCAGAGCUUUAGAGAUGAUCUAAUCCAAACACGCACCUCCAAAGAUGGGAGCAUCUUUCUGAUAUCUAAGGGGGAACGACUUGCCCAAGGUCACAUUGCCAACUACCGGCAGAGCUGACCCUUGAAGCCACGGCUCCCAGUUCCCAUACCAGGUGGCAGAGAAGUGUUAGGGGAGAAGAUGAGAGACCCAAAUAUCCUGAGGUUACCGGGUGGGGUGAGGAUGUCAUUUCUUUUAGUGAUAGGUAAAACUGAUAUGGGACAACCCGAAAGAGGACAGCCAGCUUUGUAUUCUCAGCUCCCCUGCCUUCCAGCAAGUUACCUCCUUUCUCUGUGCCUCUUCUGGUUCCCCAUCUGUGAAAACAAGGAUAUGCUGGUUCCUACCUUACAGAGCUAUCGUGAGGCCUGAACAAGCCAGUACAUAAAGCAGUUAGGAUAAUGCUCAGAAAAGGUACCUAUUGGGGUGCCUGGGUGGCUCAGUUGGUUAGGCGUCUGCCUUGGGCUCCAGUCAUGAUCUGGGGGUCCUAGCCCCCAGCCCCAGGUGCAGCUCUCUGAUCAGCCUGAGUCCACUUGUUCCUCUCCCUCUGCCCCUACCCCACCCCAUGCACUACCACCCCCACCACCCCUGCUUAUGCUCUCUGUCUCAAAUAAAUAAAUAAAAUGUUAAAAAAAAAAAAAAGUUACCUCUUACUAUCUGUAAAUGUAAGGAUUUGUUUUCUUCACCCAGCAAAUGUUUAUUUGCAACCUCUGGGGUCUUCUCUGUGACAGGAACGGGGCCAGAUGCUGGGGAUCCAGCUGGGCAAGGCAGAAAGGUCCUGGGCCUGCUGGAACUUCCCGUGGAGGGGGACAGGGGGUCUGAGGGAUGCGGGUCGUCUAGCCCAGGGCCUGACUCAUGGCACUCCAGGUCCUCGGGUCCGGUAGGAAUCUAGCGGGACUCACAACCUCCCUCGGCCGUCUCCAAAGCAAAGCUGACCCGGCGGAUGACGCCAGGAUCCUGGAGAGGCUCCAAGGAGAACACCCUUGCAAAGAGGUGGGAAGCUACCACGCCGCUGCUCUGUGUGCCUUUGUGUUUUAAAUCCUGGCAACCAGCUUAAGUAUUUUUAAUUAUGUUUUUAAGUAGGAUUGGGUCCCGGGCGGACGGUUUGCGACCCCCCAC
rnacentral:lncRNA from 1 species